CUACGGGGCGCUCCAGUGGGGAAUAUUGCACAAUGGGCGCAAGCCUGAUGCAGCCAUGCCGCGUGUAUGAAGAAGGCCUUCGGGUUGUAAAGUACUUUCAGCGGGGAGGAAGGGAGUAAAGUUAAUACCUUUGCUCAUUGACGUUACCCGCAGAAGAAGCACCGGCUAACUCCGUGCCAGCAGCCGCGGUAAUACGGAGGGUGCAAGCGUUAAUCGGAAUUACUGGGCGUAAAGCGCACGCAGGCGGUUCGUUAAGUCAGAUGUGAAAUCCCCGGGCUCAACCUGGGGACUGCAUCUGAUACUGGCAAGCUUGAGUCUCGUAGAGGGGGGUAGAAUUCCAGGUGUAGCGGUGAAAUGCGUAGAGAUCUGGAGGAAUACCGGUGGCGAAGGCGGCCCCCUGGACGAAGACUGACGCUCAGGUGCGAAAGCGUGGGGAGCAAACAGGAUUAGAUACCCGAGUAGUC
rnacentral:rRNA from 1 species